GACGAACGCUGGCGGCGUGCCUAAUACAUGCAAGUAGAACGCUGAAGGAGGAGCUUGCUUCUCUGGAUGAGUUGCGAACGGGUGAGUAACGCGUAGGUAACCUGCCUGGUAGCGGGGGAUAACUAUUGGAAACGAUAGCUAAUACCGCAUAAGAGUAGAUGUUGCAUGACAUUUGCUUAAAAGGUGCAAUUGCAUCACUACCAGAUGGACCUGCGUUGUAUUAGCUAGUUGGUGGGGUAACGGCUUACCAAGGCGACGAUACAUAGCCGACCUGAGAGGGUGAUCGGCCACACUGGGACUGAGACACGGCCCAGACUCCUACGGGAGGCAGCAGUAGGGAAUCGUCGGCAAUGGACGGAAGUCUGACCGAGCAACGCCGCGUGAGUGAAGAAGGGUUUCGGAUCGUAAAGCUCUGUUGUAAGAGAAGAACGAGUGUGAGAGUGGAAAGUUCACACUGUGACGGUAUCUGACCAGAAAGGGACGGCUAACUACGUG
rnacentral:rRNA from 1 species